GACGAACCGUACGAACGUUAUUCGGAAUUACUGGGCGUAAAGGGCGCGUAGGCGGCUCGCUAAGUCGGAUGUGAAAACUCUGGGCUCAACCCAGAGCCUGCAUUCGAAACUGACGAGCUCGAGUUCUGGAGGGGAAAGCGGAAUUCCUGGUGUAGCGGUGAAAUGCGUAGAUAUCAGGAGGAACACCGGUGGCGAAGGCGGCUUUCUGGACAGAAACUGACGCUGAUGCGCGAAAGCUAGGGGAGCAAACAGG
rnacentral:rRNA from 1 species